GAUGUGAUGGGACAUGUUCAUCGUCUCCGCAUGUUUUAGGGUUUGGGCUGGCUGGGGUUGAGAAUCUGGAAUUCGGGCACGUUUUUUACACCACCUUGCGGCAGAUUGCGGGAAUGUAUUGGGCAUCAAAUUGAGCACAAUUCCGUUCCCCUCGCUACUAUAGAUUUCGAAGCUUGCUAUAUGAUUGAGAAGGAUCUAUACUGUGUCUGUGAAAGGAGAUUGUUCGACGGUUGGGGGAAAUUUUCACGUGCCGGAAUCGAUAACCAUAUCGACGUGCCUUAAGAUGAAUCUUCAGGAAAUUGUGGUGUUGUUUCGGUGUCGGAAGCAGUUGACCAAGUGAAAAACGGGGCGAUGAAUGUCGGGACAAGCUUCGACUUUCAACCUAUUUGCUCCUCGACACGAUACACGUGGCCUCGGUGGAAGUUGGCUGGCUAAGCAUCUGCGACAUAAUUUAAGGAGAUAAAUUAGCGGGAGUUGAAAGAGAUCCUCGUGUGUGUCUCCGAUGUCAACCUUUGCCACAGACUAGAGCGAGUUGCAAUCUUAACUUUUUUGUUUCUUUUUCUGUUCCGAAGCAUUAUUCGUUCACCUGAGCGUGGAGCCGCUUCGCCGAACUUGCAGUGCAGUGAAGCUCGGCAAUCCAGAACCUAUCUGUUCAAACCUUGAAGCGACUUUCAGAUCGCAUUCGCUGGGAUAGUAAAUCAGCAACAGGCAAUUGUAGCCAGUAGGGUUCAGUCGAUCACAACUUCCAGCAAUGGCGAACUUAACCACAGGGAGGACAUAACAAAUGUACCGGGACUCGAUCGAGAGAUAUGUCAUUUUCUGGAAUAUCCUUUCCCCUCAGCGAGCAGGAAUUUUAUUAAAAGCCAUGAAAUCUAAAGCACUGCGAUUCUUGCUCGCUAACCGCGACAUAUGACCGCACCAACCGGAGUCUGAUCCAUGUGGAUAAAUUCAGCAAUCCAACUGCGAAGGAGUUAUCUUACAUGAUUCACCACGCCUACACUGCCAGUGAACCACAUAUCACCGGGUCUGUAGACUAGACAACCCAACUGCCACCACCAUCAGGUCUUAGAAUCGCUCAAAUCCGUGUGCACAUCCACCCAACAAAACAAUCGAGCUCCCUCACCAUCGAUUCAUCCCGGAGGCUGAACACCAAUUCUCUAGCGCAUUCGUCAAUCAGACCUGGAGCCUGAAGCGACAAACCAAGGCAUGUGGUAAAAUAAUCCCCUAAAUGCUGUUUGCCGCUGGUCAACGGGGAUCACUCAAUGCUGUCACUUCAUCUGCCAUCACGCCUGGUGGGAAUCCAGCAAUGGACUGGGUCGGCAUUGAAGAGCCACCAUGUUGGAAUGUCGACAAGCGCUGUGAAGGUCUUGACGAAGCCUCUCUCUUUGGAGACAGGACCACGCUGGACGUGACCAUGACAGGAACAUUCCAUGUGUUAGGGUUGUUGUUUUCUAUCAUAAAAUGUGUCCGCUGGGCCUCUCUCUCUCUCCCCUUCUGCAUAGCUACAGCUCACCAUGACACUCCAGAAUCGUGUAUUUUUCUUCUUCUUUUUUGUUUCUUUCUGGUGCUGUGUUGUGUUGUGUUGUGGACCAUGGGGUGUUGUGUGGCACUGUUUGUGGUGGUGGUGGAGGUGGUGGCCUACUCGGUGAGUUUGUGAUAAGCUUUAUGCAUCUCGAGUCAAGUGGGUCAUGUCUAACUCUUUUUAUUUGCUAGCUUGGAGUCUUGAUACCUGUAGAAAACAGGUAAGUGGGUGUUGAUAUACAUUGAAGGAAGUUGAAAUUGGGGCCCAGGUGUGAGAGUAAGUGCAAAACAGAUUCACCAUUGUGGUGGAAGUUUGCAACGUGUUGGAUCCAAAAUUAACUUUUAAGCUGCUUAAGGUUUGGAUCAGGUAACUUCUUAAUCAAGUAUCUGUAACCUCUGGUGUGGCUUUGAAUUGACCUUGUGUUAGAACUUGUGUCCAUUUGGUAUAUCAAUUGACAUGAGUUAUCUGCAAGUUUGGUUUUUCAUGCACAGUCACUCAUGAGAUGGUUAUGAGAUAAAUACCUAACAAAGAAUUACAAGAAAUUUCAAAGGGUAGGAGGACAAUAAGGAAAUAAGCAAGAAAGAAGAGAGAAAAAUGCACAGGAAAAUAGGAAAAAAAAAAAAGAAAAAAAAAAAAGAAGAGAUAGGUGGAAAUGAAAAAGAAUUGUUUUUCAAAGGAGAUAAAAAGGAUGAUAAACAGCAACUCUUGAAGAUGUAGUUUUGAAUAUUCAGAUGUAAUAAAAGACAGUCAGAAGAAAUUUUCAAGCACCAUUUUAGCAAAAAUGCAAUAUGGUUCCGUGCCAAAACUUACAAGCUUGUUGAUUGUUUCAAUUAUUUACUUUCCACUUUGUAGCUUAAAUAAUUUGAUUCACUUCCAGUAGCAUGAAACUAUUAUAAAAUGUAAACUAUCAAACAAAGCAAAUGUAUUAAUAAAUAUAUAAAUAAAUAAAUAAAUAAAUAAAUAACACAACUAUCUUUGAUUGCAUACAUCAGGCCAGAACAGAACCUUUCCCAAAACAAGUACCUUGAUUCACAAACUCCAAAUCGCUGUGAAAAAAUAAACUGAUGAAAUGCCCUUUUUAUUUUUAUUUUUUAUUUUUUAUGGUCGCCCACCCCUGUAUCCACUCAAGGCUCAAUUUUGAACAAGGAUAAACAUGAAUCAAUUUUUGCCAAAAGGCAUAUCAGAUCUUGAAUAAAAAAUACAACAUAUGGUGGUGCAUUCAAAGCCUUGAAGUAAAUGAAUAAAGAGUGUCUGCAGAUACUUGUCAAACAUUCCAUCUAGAAAUAACUGUAACUAGUAAAUCAUGCCACUAGUAGUUUUGGUGGGGGCUUCAGAGCUCUGGAACAUGAGUUUGCUAAAUUAUGCAAUUUCAUGGCAACUUUGGCCCACACUAUCACUGACGCAAUUUAGUGCAAAAUAAAAGGAACAACUGGAAUGAUACAAAAGUCUAUAGUGGUGAUUUUCAUCCUAUUCUAAUAUCAGCACAGCCAGUGUUGGAAGGAAUUGCACAUGGGUCACCCAAAGGUGAAAAAUCCCAUUGUAUUACUUUUAUUCAUUUAGGGUUUAGGGUUUUGAUCUCUAAAUAUAUUUCAAAUAGGGAGUUGCCAGUUGCCUGAAUUUUGAACUCUGAACACCCAAAGUUUGAAUGUUCCCUAUUAUUUAGAUUAAAUUUUGACUUCUGUGUUACG